rnacentral:rRNA from 2 species
UUGUCACGCCAGUGGCACUGCCCGGUAGCUAAGUUCGGAAUCGAUAACCGCUGAAAGCAUCUAAGCGGGAAGCGAGCCCUGAGAUGAGUCAUCCCUGACCCCUUGAGGGUCCUAAAGGGCCGUUGGAGACCACAACGUUGAUAGGUGGGGUGUGUAAGCGCGGCGACGUGUUGAGCUAACCCAUACUAAUUACCCGUGAGGCUUAACCAUACAACACCCAAGAAGUGUU